GGGAAGGGCUCGGAGACAAAUAAGGAAACCAACUCGAGAGUCUGGAAGACAGAUCUUUGGAACGGGCCUGGGGAGCGGGGUGAGACUUGAGCCCUUUUGGAGGAAGAACCGAAAGGAUGGACGAGCAGGGUACGUGUAGCAACUAGAUCACGGCUGGUGGGUGAAGUCCGUCCCCAUUCAUCAUUUCUGACUCACCGGACUGGAUGCAUACCCCUCUGGAGACUGACCCACUCACUCAGCGGGAUCCUUCCGUUUCUGCAAGGCGUGAGUCAGCACCUCGUGAGUGAUGCAGAGAAUGAGAUUUGCUUUCGGAGGUGGAGGGAGCUGGGUGUCCUCCCAAGGAACCUCCACAAAGAACUGGACCACGCACAGCGCGUCACCCUUGUCUCUCCAGAAGCGUGACUUGAACUAAAAGCGUUCACUUGAAAACGUGAAGCUCGUGUGAAAUUCUACUCCAACAGGUGAAAGGAAGCAAGCUGAAACCGUGGUGAUAUUGGCAAACUUUCAACCACCUGCACAAACAGUGCGCAACUGGGAAAAAAAAGUAAGGCCUGCUGCCUGAUGGGGUCACUGGGCUUCUCGUGAUAUUCUGAUCUGUGCCUCCAUCGUGAAUAAAAAUACAAAAAUUCCAACCGAAAUGGAGGAGAUUCUGUGGGAAAACACAAGCGGUGAGGAGGCAACAGGUUGCAAAGGUGAACAAGGUUGCAAGCUGCCUUUUAGUGAUCAAUACCAGGGCAGCUGGGCUCAGCAGACUCAAAAUCCACUUUAUAAAUCUGGGUGAUUCGUAACUAUAGAACUAUUGACAUUGACUUUGGCCCAAUAUGCUACUCAGAUUGAUGUGUGUGGGGGUGCCUCUGUGUGGAAACUAUAAUUCAGACUCCACCCAGUUGGUCUGAUACAAAUAGUUUUCCACCUGCAAAGGGAGCCACCCACUUCCCAUCACGGCUUCACAGGCACGGGCAACUCGGUCCAGCAGGUAUCUAGGGGCCAGGCAGAUACUGUAUCACCCUCUCUCCUGCAUCCUGAGAUGCUCACGGGACACCUGCAGAGUCACGGCUUCGGCAGUGGUGCCCCAACGAGCCCCGGGAGGCUUGCUUUACCUGGGAUGCCUUCCUUCCUGGGCCUCUUGGCCCACCCCGUGUCUAACUGGCCCUCGUUAGGAAGGAGCGUGCAGUGAAAUCACACAGUACGAGGCAGUGCAGAAACACUGGCCGUCUGCAUGUCAUGUCUGAUGAUAAGCACCCCUGAGAAAGCUCAGAGGUAGGCAACAAAAUACUGGUAAACUGGAUGCCCUCGAGACACUCACACAGGGUGGGGCAAAAGUAGGCUUCCAGCUGGGAGUACACAAAACACAGGAGUUUAUUCUUGGAUUGUUAGUUAUGAAUUACCGGCUUAUUUUCCAUAGGAACAGUGGUCAACCUACCUUUGCCCCGCCCUGUAUGGAAAGCUGGUCACUAAGGGGACGAGGGGUUUGGCAGACACACCGAGGCCACCACCAGGCCUGGCUUGGCUCUCACUGCACACACACGGGCGACUUGGGCCUCAGGCUGACUUCCCUGCCCAGGAGGACAGUCUCACCCGCCCGGGCGCUCGCUCGAGGCUGAAGCACGGUUCUCGCUCAUUAGAGUCCCUCGGGACUCCCACUGAGGGGCACGGGCCCUGAACAGCACCAGGUGGGCUCCAGGACGGCGAGGACCUUUGGGUGAUGCCUGGCACCUGGCCGGGGCAAUGCCGUCCAGGCUGCCGUUGGGCUCAGGACCCCAGCUGGAACAUUCCUGAAGUUUGGGGUUUGCGACUGUGUAAAAUCAUUCCCAUCCCCAGUGGAUUCCACAACUUUAGAGGUAAAAGAAAUAUUGUAGAUUCCUGGAAUUAAAGCUACUUUGCCGAAAGAGCAAUUUCUGCUUGCUUUGUUACAUAGUUUUAUUUAUUUUAAAAUUUUCCUUCCCUGCUGUCACAGUGGAUUUUUCCUGUGUGCUGAUUAAUGGGUAUACAGUGUCAGUUCACAUGUGAAUUUCUCAGGACUCACCAGAAAUGUACACAACAGCUUCCAGUUGUGUGCGGUUUUCUUGGCACUACGUAUCUAGUACCUUUCUCGGCAAAACCAUGUUUCUACAUUUUUAUGGCGUUUAGUUGUUUUCCCUAAAAUAAUGAAAAAAAAAAAACAAAACCAAAACCUUUUAGUGGUGAGUUUUAAUUCCGAACAGUUCCGUAAUCAGCUCUAACAAGUCUGUGCGAGGGAAAACACAGCUGGGGGCCCGCGUGGCGAUCCGGUUUCCACUCAUCAGGACGACGCCUGUGAAACUAGAUUAUUGUCGCUGACGAAGCAGGCUCCGGGGCAGUCGUUUAUUCCCCGUGACAUCGGGUGGCACGAGGCCAGAACUUAGAGCGGAACCACGCUCGGCAGCUCCGCCACGUGGGGGACCCCGAAAGGGGAAAUGAACCGAUUUUCAUUCUCUCAGGGAACCUGUUGAAUAAUGAAACGCCCCUGCCUCGCCUCUUCCAUGAGACACUGCCCUCUCCCCACCACAACUGCUUUGCAGAGUCUCUGAGCCAAAGGUCGGCGGAGCGAACGGUGCAGCUGGGAACUACUUUCACCGUUCCCAACAGUGAUCUGCCCCCGAGUUACCUCCCACCGAGCCCCUGCGCGUUGUGAUGCAUCUGGGCAAAUCCUUCCGCACGGCAGGGCCUGGACUGGGUUCAGAAGACCUCCUCCACUGUCCUACGCCGCCUACUUGUUUUGGGUGCAGAACUACAAAAUCGUGCUUUGGAAAUAGCAGAUGGCCCACCCGAUCUAUCACUUGGUGGUGCUUUUAAAUUUCCAAGGGGCGGGGGCGGGGGGGGCGGUGGAGAAACCCACUCACUGCCCAUCCCGCUUCUUGUUCUUUUCCAUAAACAGUUUCAGAUGCUGAAGACAGCAUUUCAUUUUGGUUUCCCAAUACCUUAUCAGGACUAUAAAGCAUCACCAGGUUAAAAAAAAGUAUCGCUUAUGCAUGCUCAUAUAGGAGCUUCUCUUCUCUGUCAGAGAGCCGACAGGGUUUGACAGCAACCUAAUACUAGGUCUCCGUUUUCAGGAAAGAACCGCCGUCUUCUAGGAUGACACCCUCCAAUGGCUGCCACUGCUCCCUUUCCUGGUGACUGCACCAGCCUCCUUGAAGGUCGCCGCGCCCCCACCCCACAACUAAGUCUCCCUUUACAUAACUCUAGGAGGUGGGAGUCUCUACCAGCGUUUUGACUCAAAGUCCAAUUAUCAGCAGCAAGGCAUGCCAGGGAAAUGGUCCCGUAUUUAAUUGUCUAUUUCAUUCUUGCUGCUAAAUUAUACUUUUGUAAUUUAAGCAUUCCCAUUAAAAUGUCACAUUCAGUGACACCAGAGAUGAAAAGGUAGAGAAACCCGACACAAAAUACAAAGAAUUAUAGCAAGCGCCAUUCAAACACCCUCGCUUGAAAUCUAACUUGCUAUUAUCAUGUACCGUGGGGUCAGCUGACUGGCUGCGGCAGAAUAUUCUGGGCUUAGAAACCCAACAAGGAAAACAAACACAGGACACCUGCAUGAAGAACAGAGAAGAGAAACUAACCAGCCCACACCUAGAAUUUCCCUUUUUUUUUUAAUUUCAGGGGCCCAGAGUUUUCUCACAGCCAGGGGAAAGGCCCCGUCUAUGGGGGCGGCCUUCACUUCUCUGCAAAGUGGCCCACACAACAGCAGCCAGGGAAAACGCCAAUAAGGCAAGAAGAGAAUUACAAUUCCAGAGAUUUCUAACUCUGGAAUAGAUUUCAGAUGAUUACCUCUCCACCAGCCAAGACGGGCCGUGACGAGGAGCAUCUGGUAAAUUUUGUCCCACCAGCCCAUCCCGCCAGGGGCUGCUUUCCUCCCGCCAGGCGUGAACUAACGGUGGGUAACACAGAGAAUUCAUGCUCUUCUCCGCAGGGGGCUGGGAGGGCUGGAGAGUCUGCGGGAACACCAGGACGUG